rnacentral:rRNA from 1 species
GAGUUUGAUCCUGGCUCAGGAUGAACGCUGGCGGCGUGCCUAAUACAUGCAAGUCGAGCGAACAGACGAGGAGCUUGCUCCUCUGACGUUAGCGGCGGACGGGUGAGUAACACGUGGAUAACCUACCUAUAAGACUGGGAUAACUUCGGGAAACCGGAGCUAAUACCGAAUAAUAUAUUGAACCGCAUGGUUCAAUAGUGAAAAACGGUUUUGCUGUCACUUAUAGAUGGAUCCGCGCCGCAUUAGCUAGUUGGUAGGGUAACGGCUUACCAAGGCGACGAUGCGUAGCCGACCUGAGAGGGUGAUCGGCCACACUGGAACUGAGACACGGUCCAGACUCCUACGGGAGGCAGCAGUAGGGAAUCUUCCGCAAUGGGCGAAAGCCUGACGGAGCAACGCCGCGUGAGUGAUGAAGGUCUUCGGAUCGUAAAACUCUGUUAUUAGGGAAGAACAAAUGUGUAAGUAACUAUGCAGUCUUGACGGUACCUAAUCAGAAAGCCACGGCUAACUACGU